AAGGAUGGGUCUGCGGCCUAUCAGGUAGUAGUGGGUGUAGCGUACCUACUAGCCUACGACGGGUACGGGUUGUGAGAGCAAGAGCCCGGAGAUGGAUUCUGAGACACGAAUCCAGGCCCUACGGGGUGCAGCAGGCGCGAAAACUUUACAAUGCUGGAAACAGCGAUAAGGGGACCUCGAGUGCCAGGUUACAAAUCUGGCUGUCGUGAUGCCUAAAAAGCAUUGCAUAGCAAGGGCCGGGCAAGACCGGUGCCAGCCGCCGCGGUAACACCGGCGGCUCGAGUGGUAACCGUUAUUAUUGGGUCUAAAGGGUCUGUAGCUGGCCGGAUAAGUCUCUUGGGAAAUCCAGCAGCUCAACUGUUGGGCUUUCAGGAGAUACUGUCUGGCUCGAGGCCGGGAGAGGUGAGAGGUACUUCAGGGGUAGGGGUGAAAUCUUGUAAUCCUUGAAGGACCACCAGUGGCGAAGGCGUCUCACCAGAACGGACCUGACGGCAAGGGACGAAAGCUAGGGGCACGAACCGGAUUAGAUACCCGGGUAGUCCUAGCCGUAAACGAUACUCGCUAGGUGUCGGCCACGGUGCGACCGUUGUCGGUGCCGUAGGGAAGCCGUGAAGCGAGCCACCUGGGAAGUACGGCCGCAAGGCUGAAACUUAAAGGAAUUGGCGGGGGAGCACCACAACGGGUGGAGCUUGC
rnacentral:rRNA from 1 species